rnacentral:rRNA from 1 species
GGCCAAGUUUUUAAGGGCGCACGGUGGAUGCCUUGGCACCAGGAACCGAUGAAGGACGUGGGAGGCCGCGAUAGUCCCCGGGGAGUCGUCAACCAGGCUUUGAUCCGGGGGUUUCCGAAUGGGGAAACCCGG